rnacentral:rRNA from 1 species
UACGACAGGGGCUAGCGUUGUUCGGAAUUACUGGGCGUAAAGCGCACGUAGGCGGCCUUGUAAGAUGGGGGUGAAAUCCCCGGGCUCAACCCGGGAACUGCCUUCAUGACUGCAAAGCUAGAGGAUGCGAGAGGUUAGCGGAAUUCCGAGUGUAGAGGUGAAAUUCGUAGAGAUUCGGAAGAACACCAGUGGCGAAGGCGGCUAACUGGCGCAUUGCUGACGGUGAGGUGCGAAAGAGUGGGGAGCAAACAGG